AGAGUUUGAUCAUGGCUCAGAUUGAACGCUGGCGGCAGGCCUAACACAUGCAAGUCGAACGGUAGCACAGAGAGCUUGCUCUCGGGUGACGAGUGGCGGACGGGUGAGUAAUGUCUGGGAAACUGCCUGAUGGAGGGGGAUAACUACUGGAAACGGUAGCUAAUACCGCAUAAUGUCGCAAGACCAAAGAGGGGGACCUUCGGGCCUCUUGCCAUCAGAUGUGCCCAGAUGGGAUUAGCUAGUAGGUGGGGUAACGGCUCACCUAGGCGACGAUCCCUAGCUGGUCUGAGAGGAUGACCAGCCACACUGGAACUGAGACACGGUCCAGACUCCUACGGGAGGCAGCAGUGGGGAAUAUUGCACAAUGGGCGCAAGCCUGAUGCAGCCAUGCCGCGUGUAUGAAGAAAGGCCUUCGGGUUGUAAAGUACUUUCAGCGGGGAGGAAAGGUGUUGUGGUUUAAUAACCGCAGCAAUUGACGUUACCCGCAGAAGAAGCACCGGGCUAACUCCGUGCCAGCAGCCGCGGUAAUACGGAGGUGCAGCGUAUCGGAUUACUGGGCGUAAGCGCACGCAGCGGUCUGUCAGUCGGAUGUGAAAUCCCCGGGCUCA
rnacentral:rRNA from 2 species